GGGUUGUGAGGUUAAGCGACUAAGCGUACACGGUGGAUGCCCUGGCAGUCAGAGGCGAUGAAGGACGUGCUAAUCUGCGAUAAGCGUCGGUAAGGUGAUAUGAACCGUUAUAACCGGCGAUUUCCGAAUGGGGAAACCCAGUGUGUUUCGACACACUAUCAUUAACUGAAUCCAUAGGUUAAUGAGGCGAACCGGGGGAACUGAAACAUCUAAGUACCCCGAGGAAAAGAAAUCAACCGAGAUUCCCCAGUAGCGGCGAGCGAACGGGGAGCAGCCCAGAGCCUGAAUCAGUAUGUGUGUUAGUGGAAGCGUCUGGAAAGGCGCGCGAUACAGGGUGACAGCCCCGUACACAAAAAUGCACAUGCUGUGAGCUCGAUGAGUAGGGCGGGACACGUGGUAUCCUGUCUGAAUAUGGGGGGACCAUCCUCCAAGGCUAAAUACUCCUGACUGACCGAUAGUGAACCAGUACCGUGAGGGAAAGGCGAAAAGAACCCCGGCGAGGGGAGUGAAAAAGAACCUGAAACCGUGUACGUACAAGCAGUGGGAGCACGCUUAGGCGUGUGACUGCGUACCUUUUGUAUAAUGGGUCAGCGACUUAUAUUCUGUAGCAAGGUUAACCGAAUAGGGGAGCCGAAGGGAAACCGAGUCUUAACUGGGCGUUAAGUUGCAGGGUAUAGACCCGAAACCCGGUGAUCUAGCCAUGGGCAGGUUGAAGGUUGGGUAACACUAACUGGAGGACCGAACCGACUAAUGUUGAAAAAUUAGCGGAUGACUUGUGGCUGGGGGUGAAAGGCCAAUCAAACCGGGAGAUAGCUGGUUCUCCCCGAAAGCUAUUUAGGUAGCGCCUCGUGAAUUCAUCUCCGGGGGUAGAGCACUGUUUCGGCAAGGGGUCAUCCCGACUUACCAACCCGAUGCAAACUGCGAAUACCGGAGAAUGUUAUCACGGGAGACACACGGCGGGUGCUAACGUCCGUCGUGAAGAGGGAAACAACCCAGACCGCCAGCUAAGGUCCCAAAGUCAUGGUUAAGUGGGAAACGAUGUGGGAAGGCCCAGACAGCCAGGAUGUUGGCUUAGAAGCAGCCAUCAUUUAAAGAAAGCGUAAUAGCUCACUGGUCGAGUCGGCCUGCGCGGAAGAUGUAACGGGGCUAAACCAUGCACCGAAGCUGCGGCAGCGACGCUUAUGCGUUGUUGGGUAGGGGAGCGUUCUGUAAGCCUGUGAAGGUGUACUGUGAGGUAUGCUGGAGGUAUCAGAAGUGCGAAUGCUGACAUAAGUAACGAUAAAGCGGGUGAAAAGCCCGCUCGCCGGAAGACCAAGGGUUCCUGUCCAACGUUAAUCGGGGCAGGGUGAGUCGACCCCUAAGGCGAGGCCGAAAGGCGUAGUCGAUGGGAAACAGGUUAAUAUUCCUGUACUUGGUGUUACUGCGAAGGGGGACGGAGAAGGCUAUGUUGGCCGGGCGACGGUUGUCCCGGUUUAAGCGUGUAGGCUGGUUUUCCAGGCAAAUCCGGAAAAUCAAGGCUGAGGCGUGAUGACGAGGCACUACGGUGCUGAAGCAACAAAUGCCCUGCUUCCAGGAAAAGCCUCUAAGCAUCAGGUAACAUCAAAUCGUACCCCAAACCGACACAGGUGGUCAGGUAGAGAAUACCAAGGCGCUUGAGAGAACUCGGGUGAAGGAACUAGGCAAAAUGGUGCCGUAACUUCGGGAGAAGGCACGCUGAUAUGUAGGUGAAGCGACUUGCUCGUGGAGCUGAAAUCAGUCGAAGAUACCAGCUGGCUGCAACUGUUUAUUAAAAACACAGCACUGUGCAAACACGAAAGUGGACGUAUACGGUGUGACGCCUGCCCGGUGCCGGAAGGUUAAUUGAUGGGGUCAGCGCAAGCGAAGCUCUUGAUCGAAGCCCCGGUAAACGGCGGCCGUAACUAUAACGGUCCUAAGGUAGCGAAAUUCCUUGUCGGGUAAGUUCCGACCUGCACGAAUGGCGUAAUGAUGGCCAGGCUGUCUCCACCCGAGACUCAGUGAAAUUGAACUCGCUGUGAAGAUGCAGUGUACCCGCGGCAAGACGGAAAGACCCCGUGAACCUUUACUAUAGCUUGACACUGAACAUUGAGCCUUGAUGUGUAGGAUAGGUGGGAGGCUUUGAAGUGUGGACGCCAGUCUGCAUGGAGCCGACCUUGAAAUACCACCCUUUAAUGUUUGAUGUUCUAACGUGGACCCGUAAUCCGGGUUGCGGACAGUGUCUGGUGGGUAGUUUGACUGGGGCGGUCUCCUCCUAAAGAGUAACGGAGGAGCACGAAGGUUGGCUAAUCCUGGUCGGACAUCAGGAGGUUAGUGCAAUGGCAUAAGCCAGCUUGACUGCGAGCGUGACGGCGCGAGCAGGUGCGAAAGCAGGUCAUAGUGAUCCGGUGGUUCUGAAUGGAAGGGCCAUCGCUCAACGGAUAAAAGGUACUCCGGGGAUAACAGGCUGAUACCGCCCAAGAGUUCAUAUCGACGGCGGUGUUUGGCACCUCGAUGUCGGCUCAUCACAUCCUGGGGCUGAAGUAGGUCCCAAGGGUAUGGCUGUUCGCCAUUUAAAGUGGUACGCGAGCUGGGUUUAGAACGUCGUGAGACAGUUCGGUCCCUAUCUGCCGUGGGCGCUGGAGAACUGAGGGGGGCUGCUCCUAGUACGAGAGGACCGGAGUGGACGCAUCACUGGUGUUCGGGUUGUCAUGCCAAUGGCACUGCCCGGUAGCUAAAUGCGGAAGAGAUAAGUGCUGAAAGCAUCUAAGCACGAAACUUGCCCCGAGAUGAGUUCUCCCUGACUCCUUGAGAGUCCUGAAGGAACGUUGAAGACGACGACGUUGAUAGGCCGGGUGUGUAAGCGCAGCGAUGCGUUGAGCUAACCGGUACUAAUGAACCGUGAGGCUUAACCUUACAACGCCGAAGCUGUU
rnacentral:rRNA from 1 species